UACACUCCUGCGGGAGGCAGCAGUGGGGAAUUUUGGACAAUGGGCGAAAGCCUGAUCCAGCAAUGCCGCGUGAGUGAAGAAGGCCUUCGGGUUGUAAAGCUCUUUUGUCAGGGAAGAAACGGUGAGAGCUAAUAUCUCUUGCUAAUGACGGUACCUGAAGAAUAAGCACCGGCUAACUACGUGCCAGCAGCCGCGGUAAUACGUAGGGUGCAAGCGUUAAUCGGAAUUACUGGGCGUAAAGCGUGCGCAGGCGGUUUUGUAAGUCUGAUGUGAAAUCCCCGGGCUCAACCUGGGAAUUGCAUUGGAGACUGCAAGGCUAGAAUCUGGCAGAGGGGGGUAGAAUUCCACGUGUAGCAGUGAAAUGCGUAGAUAUGUGGAGGAACACCGAUGGCGAAGGCAGCCCCCUGGGUCAAGAUUGACGCUCAUGCACGAAAGCGUGGGGAGCAAACAGGAUUAGAAACCCCUGUAGUCCCAU
rnacentral:rRNA from 1 species